rnacentral:lncRNA from 1 species
CUUCCGCCAGCGCCCAUCGUGAAGACCACAGUUUCCUGUCGCGUGGAUGUGUUUCCUCUCUGGCCAUUGCCAUCCGCCCAAAUCUACAGACAUCCCGCAUGUUCCCGGGCUCGUCUCCCCAAUACAGGGCACCAAGGCUGUAGACUGCGCAGCCCUCCUGGAGACAGAUGGAAGCUCCUUGGGUCGACAGAUUACAGCUUCUGGAACCCCCUACUCCCUUCAACUCCGAGAUGGACACCCACUGUCCAGGGAGAGGAUGCCUGGAAAUAACAGCUGGGAUCUACAGUGGCCAAAGAGUUGUCUCCGUCUUGCUACAUCGACAAACUGGUGCUCCUGAGUGAGGAUUGUGCCCUGGGAUGGGGGAUUCAGUUUCUUCAUUUAUAGUUGGAAGUGGGUGAAGUGCCAGGAGCGACGGUACACUCCAGAGUGCUGUGCCCUGAUGGGCCUUUGAGUGGCCAGUGCAGUGGAUCAUCAGCCCUGUCUCCCAAGAGCUCCAGUCCCUUCUCCGGAGAGGAAGUGGGUCCACUGGCAGCUCAGGAGGCCAUAGCAGAUUGUGGGGCUCUGUGCAGUUGAUGUUAGUUAACCACUGGAUCCACGUGUUCACCGUGGCUUGCGCCCCUGCAUCCGAAAGUGAUCUUGGCUGCCGUGUCCUGGUCAUUGGUAGUGCAGGGAAAGGAUGCGGAAAGACGGGCUCCGAGCUCGGGGCGUCUGGCCUGGAGCUUUCCUACACUUGUGUCUUGCUCUGCAGCCUUACGGAAGUGAUUGUCACGUGUGCUCAACAGUCCUCCUCGGCUUUCCAGAAGAGGCUGGAACAGGGCCCUUGAAGAUGUUUGUGGACAUCAGAGGGCCAAAGACGACACAAAGUGAAACUGGAGACACCGCCCCCCCUUGGCAUCAUGAAACUGCCGAUGUUACUGGCUCAUGCAUGGGAGACACCAGCAUACAAAGUCUUGACACCAACACCUCAGAGGGCUGUGUUCUGUCCCCGUGACCAUCAUCUAGUGCCUGGAAAGACUAGUGACAAGAACUUGUUGCCAACUUCCUAUUACCUCCCUAACAGUUGUGCAAUAAACCCCAUAGGUUAAUUCA